UCGAAAAAAUAAUUUUUGUUAUAGAUAUUAUGUACUUCGUAAUUUUUUUUAAUAACGUUAUGACAUCAUCUUCCGGUGAUUUUUGCCGGAAAAUGAUUUAGGGUUGUAAUUUAAAAUAGAUGUACAAGUUUAAGGUUGUAAUUGGCAAAAUUAGAAAUGUGAGGUUGUAAUUGGCAAAUAGAGAACUUUAUUAGGUUAUAUUUGGAAAAUUUGUCUUUUUUAAUAAACUAAUAAAUUCAUGUUAUGUUAAUUAAUGUCACGUUACUUCAUUAAGUAAAUUUUGUAUACUUAGAUAGGACUAUAUGGUUUAUAAGGGUUUAUUUGUAAUUAUUAUCAAUUCAAAUUUGACUUUAUACCUUAAUUUUUAUUUGCAACCAUUCUAUACAUCCCGUGCUUAUGCACGGGCACAUUCUAGUUCUAAGUAGUGAUCAUGCACAAUAUACGAAGAAGUAUAAUGCCCAACGGUUAUUCUAAGUAUCAUGCACAUAUAGUUAAUCAAAUCGAAACUAAUUUGAUAACAAAGUCAACCACCAUAUACAAAUUAUCUUGGUUACUAUGUUGGUUACCAGUAAAAAUAAUGCCAUGGAAAUUCUCUAACCUUUAAAAAGUUGGAGUUCUGUACUGUUCCUUAUGAACAGUGACUUCACACGUACCCAUUCGCACGUAUCAAUGCCUAAAUUUUCUUCUCUGCUUCCCCGGUUAGCAAUAUCUCGAAUGUAGCCCAAAAUGAUAACACCAGUUACACCACUACUAGAAGCCCAAACAUUAGAAUGUUCACAGUUUAUCAACCCUUUCUCUCUCCGGGUUUUAGCUACACAACUGCGCAACUUCGGCAUUUCCAUUCUUUCCAGUUCUCCGCCUUUCAACCACCACGGUAAGCUACUAAGCUCUCUCUCUUUCUCUCUCGUCUUUCUCCGCACUGAUUUGUUCUUAAUUUCAUUCGCGUUAUUGGGAUUUGAUCUCUAUUAAUCUGUUUUCUUUUUCUGCGAAUUUAUCUGCUGCAAUUUUUAACUUCAACUUGCCUUUUUCCUUUUUGAUUUUCUUGUUAAGGUUUAGUUUUUGCUCAUAGAAUUUCUCUGAAUUUGCGAAUAGUGAUAUAUGAUGUCUGUAGAAUCAUUUGUUCAGAAUCGAGCAUUGAUGUAAUUUAUCUUAAUAAUUACAUUUUGUAUGAUUAAUUUAGAUUUUGAAUUUUUGAACGAAAUUCUUCUGUAUUGUGAAAGUAGAGGGUAGAAUAUGCCUUAUAGGUGAUAUGCUAGCUCCGUUUACUGGUCGGUGGUAUUGUCUAGGGUAUUUGAAAAGUGAGAUUUUUGCUGUGUAGAUGUUAUAAAGUUUAUAAACAUAUUAGGGGUAGUUGUUAUUCUUACUUUCAUCCUUACCUUCAUUAAUUCCACUUUCUUCCUCUUCCUUGGUUUGAUUUGGUGACAAUGACUUGGUCACAAUGACGAUCUCCUAUGACGGUUCAUGUUAGCCGACGUAUUAAGGCUUUGUUGUUGUUGUUGUUGUUGUUGUUGUUGUUGUUGUAUUAGGGGUAGUUCUUCAUAUACAUCCUCAAGAUAUGUUGAUUUCAAACCCUUAAUUUUCAAUUAGGUAGGUCAAGCCAGAUGUGCUACUUGGUUUCUGUAGUUGGUGGUCUCUUGAAUGAAGAGGUGAGUGUAUCAUGAGGUCUCUUUACAUUUUUAUGCAGGACUGAAAUGGAGUGAUGACUAAUGAGUAAAUACUAAUUUAUAUGGAUUAUGUAUACUAUUUGAAAGAUUAUGAAACCGUUUGUUGGGGAUCUUGAUUCUUUGAUUAGUAUACCGUUUUAAAAAGGGGCUUGAAUUUGGGACUUAACAGUUUCAUGUGUGGAAUAUUUAGAUUAUCUUUAGUUAUAUGAUUAUGCUUCAUGUUAAUCAGAUGACGUUUUAAUUACUUAUGUUACAUCUGAUAGUUAGGAAGGCAUUUCCCCUCUCGAAAAUAUAUUUUAUCAUCCUGUGUAUAUUUAAAAUACUAAGCGUAUUUUUUUAGGUGGUAAAAUACAAGUUUUAAUUUUUAGGUGGUAAUAUUUUUUCAAAUUUUUUAGGCGGUAAAAAACAAUUUGACUAUAAAUUUAAUUGAGCUCUUCAAACAAUGUCUGAAAAUGGAUAUCCGGACUAUUUGGAUUGGGAUUUGGGAAAUAACAUUGGACUGUGUCGGAUUUCCGGUUUGGCCAGCCCAACGCAAAGCUUAGGUUAUUGCCUUGUUGGACACGAUAUCCCAAAAGGGGUUUGGAAGGAUUCUGCGGGUAUAUGGAAAUGACCCAGAAAGAGAUUUCUGAAGGGUUUCCGAUAAUUGGCCAUCAAAGUGUUUUCAUUGAACUUUAGCAAAUACUCGAAACUUCACGACGGAAACAAAGAACAUCAUUUCAAGCUAACUCUGAAGAUAAAUCCAAAGCUGAAUUUCUUUGUCAUAAAUUCUUCAUAAAAAUGCAUCAAACAGAAAAGCACAAUCUCCGCCUCACCACUACCAUAUGGUAGUGAGGGGUGUGCCACAAUCGGCUCGGACAUCCUUCGGUAAGGGUGGCUUGGUGGGGGAUACAGACAUGAGUGGGUUAUGGGCUCAGAUUGGCCUUUGAAUGUCCCACAUACGUUGAUACAACUAUACCUAUAAGUCUAUAGCCAAUCCCUAAAAAUACGUGGGAGAGAAAAAGAGAGAGGGCAUGUCUUCUGUAAGGCAAUAGAGGUAGUUGGCUUUUACGAAUGCAGCGGCUUUUUUUCCAUUUUAAUUCAUCUUUGGGAGCAACCCUGUGCUUGUUUUGAGUAGCCGAGUACAUUUUGAGGCGAUCGGUUCAUUGUAAAGAAACCAAAAACUUUGAUCUCGAAGUAUAUAUCGCAUGAAGUGCUUUUGGAUAAAGUUGUUUAUUGUUGGUACUUGAUCACAUAUUGUUAUCAGUCUAUGAUUGCGAAACAUCUUUGUGUUAAAUUUCUUAUCUUGUGAUGGAAAUGAUAAUUUUUACUUGAAAACCAUGUCGACGAAA